rnacentral:lncRNA from 1 species
GCCCCCAUGUCUUUCCUCCUAAAGACUAAAUCAACAUGAAAACUUGACCCAAGUUUCCCUUUUUAGGGCAAUGCCGGCAUUCAAGGUCCAAUGGGAAAUCCAGGGGAACGAGGCCCACCAGGAUCAAUGGGCACUAGAGGACCAAUGGGCAUUGCAGCCAUGGCACCUUGUGAACUUGUCAAUUUUACACGAGAAAAUUGCCGUAAGUAAUUAUAGAACCAAAG